rnacentral:tRNA from 1 species
GGGCCGUUAGCUCAGUCGGUAGAGCACCGGACUUUUAAUCCGUUGGUCCCGCGUUCGAAUCGCGGACGGCCCACCA